rnacentral:ribozyme from 14 species
GAACACAAAAAAAAAAACAGAAAAGAAAGAAAAGGAACACAAAUAUGUCACAA